AAUAUACUUAAAAUAUUAUUUUUUUUAUUUAUACUAUUUAUAUAUUUAUAAUUUUAGCGAAAUGUAGCAGAGGAAAGGUGAGAAAAAUCCAUGGAUUGAUAUCAUCAGUUUCACUCAUUGUCCUCACCUCGUCGGAACUAUAAGAUCACCCUAGGGCACCCGACGCCGUCGAUAUUCAGGAAUACACCUUUGGUAUUCAGGAAACGCAGGCGCAGACCGAUCGUAGAACCUUGUCUAAUAUUCAACGAGUGAAACGUAUUAAUUGUU
rnacentral:misc_RNA from 1 species